GAAACGCGAUAGUUAAUGUGAAUUGCAGAAUUCAGUGAAUCAUCGAGUCUUUGAACGCACAUUGCGCCCAUAGGUAUUCCUUUGGGCAUGUCUGUUUGAGCGUCAUUACAACCCUCAGCUAACCGCUGGUUUUGAACCUGAACGGGUGACACCGCGCCGGUUUUAAAGUUGUAAGCUCUGCUGGCCGCUCUGCCCAACCAGAACAUAGUAAGCACUACUUGUCCGUGUGAAGCUGAACGGUACGGCCUGAACAAAACCUACCCACUCUCAAGGUUUGACCUCAGAUCAGACAAGGAUACCCGCUGAACUUAAGC
rnacentral:misc_RNA from 1 species